UACGUAGGGGGCUAGCGUUGUCCGGAAUCAUUGGGCGUAAAGAGCGUGUAGGCGGCCCGGUAAGUCCGCUGUGAAAGUCGGGGGCUCAACCCUCGAAAGCCGGUGGAUACUGUCGGGCUAGAGUGCGGAAGAGGCGAGUGGAAUCCUGGUGUAGCGGUGAAAUGCGCAGAUAUCAAGGAGGAACACCGAUUGCGAAGGCAGCUCGCUGGGACGUAACUGACGCUGAGACGCGAAAGCGUGGGGAGCAAACAGG
rnacentral:rRNA from 1 species